GACGAACGCUGGCGGCGUGCCUAACACAUGCAAGUGGAGCGACGAACCAGGCUUCGGCCUGGGGCAAAGCCGCGAACGGGUGAGUAACACGUGGGUAACCUGCCCUGAUGAUUGGGACAACCCGAGGAAACUCGGGCUAAUACCGAAUGUGCCCUCCGGCCUCAAGGCCGCUGGGGAAAGGAAGCUUCGGCCUCCGCAUCGGGAUGGGCCCGCGGCCCAUUAGCUUGUUGGUGAGGUAACGGCUCACCAAGGCGACGAUGGGUAGCUGGUCUGAGAGGACGAUCAGCCACACUGGGACUGAGACACGGCCCAGACUCCUACGGGAGGCAGCAGUGGGGAAUCUUGCGCAAUGCGCGAAAGCGUGACGCAGCAACGCCGCGUGGGGGAAGAAGGCCUCGGUU
rnacentral:rRNA from 1 species